AGCGAACGCUGGCGGCAGGCUUAACACAUGCAAGUCGAGCGGGCGUAGCAAUACGUCAGCGGCAGACGGGUGAGUAACGCGUGGGAACGUACCUUUUGGUUCGGAACAACACAGGGAAACUUGUGCUAAUACUGGAUAAGCCCUUACGGGGAAAGAUUUAUCGCCGAAAGAUCGGCCCGCGUCUGAUUAGCUAGUUGGUGAGGUAAUGGCUCACCAAGGCGACGAUCAGUAGCUGGUCUGAGAGGAUGAUCAGCCACAUUGGGACUGAGACACGGCCCAAACUCCUACGGGAGGCAGCAGUGGGGAAUAUUGGACAAUGGGCGCAAGCCUGAUCCAGCCAUGCCGCGUGAGUGAUGAAGGCCCUAGGGUUGUAAAGCUCUUUUGUGCGGGAAGAUAAUGACGGUACCGCAAGAAUAAGCCCCGGCUAACUUCGUGCCAGCAGCCGCGGUAAUACGAAGGGGGCUAGCGUUGCUCGGAAUCACUGGGCGUAAAGGGUGCGUAGGCGGGUCUUUAAGUCAGGGGUGAAAUCCUGGAGCUCAACUCCAGAACUGCCUUUGAUACUGAAGAUCUUGAGUUCGGGAGAGGUGAGUGGAACUGCGAGUGUAGAGGUGAAAUUCGUAGAUAUUCGCAAGAACACCAGUGGCGAGGGCGGCUCACUGGCCCGAUACUGACGCUGAGGCACGAAAGCGUGGGGAGCAAACAGG
rnacentral:rRNA from 1 species